GUCCCCAUGGUCAAGUGGUUAUGACAUCGCCCUUUCAAGGCGGUAUCGGGGGUUCAAUUCCCCCUGGGGACGCCA
rnacentral:tRNA from 1 species